AAGACUUGUCGCUGAGGGAUGGGGAUGCGUCUGAUUAGGUAGUCGGCGGGGUAACGGCCCACCGAGCCAUCGAUCAGUAGGGGUUCUGAGAGGAAGGUCCCCCACAUUGGUACUGAGACACGGACCAAACUCCUACGGGAGGCAGCAGUGAGGAAUAUUGGUCAAUGGCCGAGAGGCUGAACCAGCCAAGUAGCGUGCAGGAAGACGGCCCUAUGGGUUGUAAACUGCUUUUAUGCGGGGAUAAAGUUGGGCACGCGUGCCCAUUUGCAGGUACCGCAUGAAUAAGGACCGGCUAAUUCCGUGCCAGCAGCCGCGGUAAUACGGAAGGUCCGGGCGUUAUCCGGAUUUAUUGGGUUUAAAGGGAGCGCAGGCCGGAGGUCAAGCGUGACGCGAAAUGUAGCCGCUCAACGGCUGAACUGCGUCGCGAACUGGCUUUCUUGAGUGAGUGCGACGUCAGCGGAAUUCGUGGUGUAGCGGUGAAAUGCUUAGAUAUCACGAAGAACCCCGAUUGCGAAGGCAGCUGGCGAGUCCUCUACUGACGCUAAAGCUCGAAGGUGCGGGUAUCGAACAGGAUUAGAUA
rnacentral:rRNA from 1 species